CAUACACCUGCAGCCCCCGGGUGCGGCUCCAGCACACGGCCUCGCCCCGCCAGCGCGCGGCCCUCCCACUCGCUCGCCCUCCUGCAGGAGCCCUCCCAUCCUCCGUCUUCCUGGAAGGCACGGAAGUCCCGCGGCAGCCACUUUCUUAACCAGCUUCCAGAAGGCCGUGCAGACGGGGUACGUGGAGAAGGGCUGAGCCCAGGAAAGCCACACGGCGACCUCAGACUCGGAAACCUCGGACGCGGUGCCCUUGGACACCCGGCGCUCUCCGACACGGCGCGGCCACCAGCGUUCAUUCUGGAGCCGUUGGGAGACUUCGCUCACGGUCUGUCUCCCCGCCUGGCCCAUGGGGAAGGCGCAGGCUCCGGGGCCCGCGCAGGCCUCUCCGCGUUGCAGGGACGCCUCACGCCUGACCUCCGACCCCCGUUAUCAGGGUCACCCCGUAGCCCGGGCAGCGCGGGAGGGAGCUGGGCGCUACCCUAAGGCGCGUCUCGCGCGGCCGCGCGUUCCCUGGGCUCCCGCGGAGCAAACAGUCCGCCUCCUUUCAAAACA